GCCAGGUACGCCGACAGGAAAACCACAGGGAAGAGUAAGCGACGUUUCCCAGAUGUCCUUGUUUGGUUCGACUGUUGCAGUAGGGGAUGAUAGCACUGCUUCCCUGUGAUCUCCACCCCGCCACAAUCGACAUGACAGGCGUUGAAAUGGGAGCCUCACGGUGGCGCCCUCUACCUUUGCCGGCCCCUUCUGCAGCGAGCAGCGGGUCACUGCCGAGCACCGGUUCUCAAACUUGAGUAGUGGCUGGACCCCUUCUUAAAGGAACCGAUUCUUCUCUGACCUGGAAAACGUUCUACUUCCCAAAAGGAUCUUACCGAAAUGAAUGCUCAUCAGGAACUGUCUGCUUUGAAGAAAAUCAUAAGGAAUCCAUUUAGUUUGCAUGAUUGGAACUCUGGGUCUUUUCCAAAAUUUGUGUGUUUGCAAGUGAAAUGGGGAGCCUGGUUUACCCAUGUUCUGCAGAAUUAAAGCACAGUAUGUGUUUGCUAUGCAAGAAAUCCAGCUUGGAUGUGAUAUAUCAUCUACCUUAUAUUAGUCUUUAGGUGUCUGUGCCAGUUUGCUGGCAAACAAUAAAGGCUUUCUCUACUAGACUUCCAGAAAAGUUAAUUCUAUUAGAAAUGUAUUCUAUUAUGAAAUCCUAGCCCUCAGAUAUUUAUAAUUUUUUCAUUUUUCCGUGACGUAGAAAAGUAUGCAUACUCAAAUCAUUGGCGGCAAUGAAAAUAUCUGACAGUGCAGUCCAGGCAGAGGGGAGAUAUUUCAUCAACAAGUAUUUUUACACAGCCACCAUUCCCAGACCUGU